UAAUACGUAGGUGGCGAGCGUUGUCCGGAAUUACUGGGCGUAAAGGGCGCGUAGGCGGUUUUUUAAGUUAGAUGUGAAAACCCAGGGCUUAACUUUGGGCGUGCAUUUAAAACUGGAGAACUUGAGUGCAGGAGAGGUAAGUGGAAUUCCUAGUGUAGCGGUGAAAUGCGUAGAUAUUAGGAGGAACACCAGUGGCGAAGGCGACUUACUGGACUGUAACUGACGCUGAGGCGCGAAAGCGUGGGGAGCAAACAGG
rnacentral:rRNA from 1 species